AGUGAACGCUGGCGGUAGGCCUAACACAUGCAAGUCGAACGGCAGCACAGUAAGAGCUUGCUCUUACGGGUGGCGAGUGGCGGACGGGUGAGGCAUACAUCGGAAUCUACUUUUUCGUGGGGGAUAACGUAGGGAAACUUACGCUAAUACCGAAUACGACCUACGGGUGAAAGCAGGGGAUCUUCGGACCUUGCGCGAUUGAAUGAGCCGAUGUCGGAUUAGCUAGUUGGCGGGGUAAAGGCCCACCAAGGCGACGAUCCGUAGCUGGUCUGAGAGGAUGAUCAGCCACACUGGAACUGAGACACGGUCCAGACUCCUACGGGAGGCAGCAGUGGGGAAUAUUGGACAAUGGGCGCAAGCCUGAUCCAGCCAUACCGCGUGAGUGAAGAAGGCCUUCGGGUUGUAAAGCCCUUUUGUUGGGAAAGAAAAGCAGCAGGUUAAUACCCCGCUGUUCUGACGGUACCCAAAGAAUAAGCACCGGCUAACUUCGUG
rnacentral:rRNA from 1 species